rnacentral:rRNA from 1 species
ACUCCUACGGGAGGCAGCAGUGGGGAAUAUUGCACAAUGGGCGCAAGCCUGAUGCAGCCAUGCCGCGUGUAUGAAGAAGGCCUUCGGGUUGUAAAGUACUUUUCAGCAGUGAGGAAGGUGGGUAUGUUAAUAGCAUAUUCAUUUGACGUUAGCUGCAGAAGAAGCACCGGCUAACUCCGUGCCAGCAGCCGCGGUAAUACGGAGGGUGCGAGCGUUAAUCGGAAUUACUGGGCGUAAAGCGCAUGCAGGUGGUUUGUUAAGUCAGAUGUGAAAGCCCGGGGCUCAACCUCGGAAUUGCAUUUGAAACUGGCAAACUAGAGUACUGUAGAGGGGGGUAGAAUUUCAGGUGUAGCGGUGAAAUGCGUAGAGAUCUGAAGGAAUACCGGUGGCGAAGGCGGCCCCCUGGACAGAUACUGACACUCAGAUGCGAAAGCGUGGGGAGCAAACAGGAUUAGAUACCCUGGUAGGCUCU